rnacentral:tRNA from 1 species
GGGUCGGUGGCGUAGCUGGUUAUCGCAUCUGUCUAACACUUCGUGCGCAGAAGGUCCUCAGUUCGAACCUGGGCCGACUCA